AUGGCUGGGGCUGUGACCUCAGCCUUCAGGAACAUAGAGGAGCAACCCGAGAGGAGGUCCAUGGGAGGAGGACAGAGCAGUCAGCCCAAGUCCGCACCCUUGGUCAUGCUCUUCCUGCCCUUCUCUGAGGAGCUCAGAGCCAACAAGGCCAUCCUGGUGUGCCUCAUCAGUGACUUCUACCCUGGCAACUUGACGGUGACCUGGAAGGCAGACGGGACCCCUGUCACCCAGGGCGUGGAGACCACCAAGCCUUUCAAACAGAGCAACAACAAGUAUGUGGCCAGCAGCUACCUGAGUCUGUCACCUGACAAGUGGAAAUCUUAUAGCAAUUUUACCUGCCAGGUCACACACGAGGGGAGCACCGUGGAGAAGAGGGUGGUGCCCUCAGAGUGCUCUUAGGUACCUGAGACCCCCACUCACCCAAGAGGAUGUGCAGCCAAUGGACCUCCAGGAAGGUCUCUCCUCCCACCAGGAUCAUCCCAGCCCUUCUCCCUGCACCCAAUCAAUGCUCAAUAAA